rnacentral:ncRNA from 12 species
GGGUGUCGGGCGAAUCAACGUUCGACAGGUCAUGCGCAGGUCGGGCCGCCGCG